rnacentral:rRNA from 1 species
GAAGGGUGCCGUAUCUUUUUAGAUAAACACGAUCCCAUUCCGAACUCGAGUAGUCAAUGUCUAAUUAUGAAACUUUUACUGCCAGAAGGUGGAAAAAAGUUGAUCCGGUACCCUUC